rnacentral:rRNA from 1 species
AUGAACGCUGGCGGCGUGCCUAAUACAUGCAAGUCGAGCGAACAAAUGAGGAGCUUGCUCCUCUGACGUUAGCGGCGGACGGGUGAGUAACACGUGGAUAACCUACCUAUAAGACUGGGAUAACUUCGGGAAACCGGAGCUAAUACCGGAUAAUAUAUUGAACCGCAUGGUUCAAUAGUGAAAGACGGUUUUGCUGUCACUUAUAGAUGGAUCCGCGCCGCAUUAGCUAGUUGGUAAGGUAACGGCUUACCAAGGCAACGAUGCGUAGCCGACCUGAGAGGGUGAUCGGCCACACUGGAACUGAGACACGGUCCAGACUCCUACGGGAGGCAGCAGUAGGGAAUCUUCCGCAAUGGGCGAAAGCCUGACGGAGCAACGCUGCGUGAGUGAUGAAGGUCUUCGGAUCGUAAAACUCUGUUAUUAGGGAAGAACAAAUGUGUAAGUAACUAUGCACGUCUUGACGGUACCUAAUCAGAAAGCCACGGCUAACUACGUG